GGGCCGGUAGCUCAGGUGGUUAGAGCGCACGCCUGAUAAGCGUGAGGUCGGUGGUUCGAGUCCACCUCGGCCCACCA
rnacentral:tRNA from 1 species